UGAAUUACCAAGAGAUUCUCAUGUAAAUACCAAGUGAAUCAGAGCAGGAUUAGCCAUACAGCGAUGAAAGAAGUCUACUAGAGCUCAAGGGCUAGACAGAGGACCUAGAAAUCAUUCUCUGAUGUGAAUGUCAUGCAAAUAUGCACCGCUUUCUGGCACUAUUGUUUGCACCUGACAAAGUCUGAUUUUAUAAAUGACCAGUCAAAUAAACCCACAAUACGAGCAAUGUGUAAGUCAGGAUAGCGUUAAAUAUGCCUUGUGCGUG